rnacentral:rRNA from 1 species
UACGUAGGGUGCGAGCGUUUGUCCGGAAUUAUUGGGCGUAAAGAGCGUGUAGGCGGUUCGGUAAGUCUGCCGUGAAAACCUGGGGCUCAACCCUGGGCGUGCGGUGGAUACUGCCGGGCUAGAGGGUGGUAGAGGCGAGUGGAAUUCCCGGUGUAGCGGUGAAAUGCGCAGAUAUCAGGAGGAACACCGAUGGCGAAGGCAGCUCGCUGGGACGGUACUGACGCUGAGGCGCGAAAGCGUGGGGAGCAAACAGG